CAUUUCAGAGUAGUUCAACGGACAGGGAAGGACUUUCAGAGAGAAUGUGGAUGUGUAUUGGGGUGAAGGGGAAAGCUGGGAACGCCUCAAAAGGGUGCAGUCUCCAUAGCAAAUGAGGGUUUUUCUUCUUUUUUCUGUUUUGAAGAGUUACCUGCUAAACUCCACCAGCGCCAUCUCUACAGAGCCCUCCAGUUAAUCAGAGCUGAAUUCAUUGACAGCUUGCUCUGGUUAAUUAUAGCAAUGCUUUUACUGAGUGCCCUAAGGAAUUAAUGGAGUCAACCACCACUUCAAGACUCAGCACACCAGAAAUCUAGAAGAAAUAUGGUGACAUCCUUGCAAUAUCUAAGGAACUAGUGGAUGUAGGACAAUUGGCAGACUGCAAAGCAAGAAGAAGAUAGAAAUGGUUCUAGGAAGCAAUUGCAUCACUUCAGAAAUAUUUGAUGUUGAUUUAGUCACCAAGGUAAUUGUAGAAAAUGAUUUAGGUUUUUGGAUGGAUAAUACUGACAAUAACUUUCCUCAUAGGAUGAGGUUGGAAGCUAAGUUUUUAUCUUCCAAAUGACUCUUGAGAAGUGAUAAGUUGAAAGUGGGCUAAGUUGAUGGAGAACCCAUUAUAUAAAUUAUGGAGAAAUUCUUUAAUUGGAGUCUAUAGGAUGUAUACUUUAAGUUGAAAUGUUGAAAACUAUAAACUUAACUUGGGCCCAAUGAUAAGGAAAAUGCAGCAAAUAUUAAAUAGAUGCAGUGGAGUGAGAACAGCAAUGUACUGUUGAUGUAACAACACAGUCUUUUAGGAUAGAGAUCCACAGAUAAUGGGGAGGAGAAAAGGACUUAUUCUCUCAAGAUCUUUUCCCAACCUUUUCCAUCGGAUUUAAGUAACAAGAGUAAAUAGUCCAUGAGUAGUAUUUGUUUAACAUACUAGAAAGUUCUCAUUAUUUUUUUCCUGAUCAGUUUUCACCGCCCUAAAUAGAGACCAGUCUAUCUCUUGCUAAGAUGUUAUCCAUAAAGAUUAUUUUCUCUUCCAGAAAUUUUUCUUGUGUCUCUCUCUUUAAGAUAUACUAAUUUGAAUGUUCAGCGUUCAAAAUGGCAGCCUUACCCAGAAUUUAACAUCAUAUACUACAGAAUUCAGAAUUUGCACAUGGAAGAAUUCUGAAUAUGUGAUUAAUGACUAUUGGGUAUAAAUCAUUUUAGAGGUUCUUGUUAACACAGCAGUGGGUAUGUAAUACAAAGAUGGAACCUUGUCCCAAACUGAAGAGCAUGUGACUCAGUCUGAAACUCUUGAAUUAUUGAAGCAUUGAUUUUCCCCCCCUUGUCUUUGAUGAGCUUCUUUAGAGAAAGCUUACUUUGCUAUCUUUCACUAUUCAAGACAAAAUAUUGGAUGUACCGCAGAUCAAGCAGAGGACAGUGGAAAGGGGGCCAAGAAACCCAUCAGUGUAGCUUUCAGUGCUGUUAAGUUUGCCAAUAGUCUAGCCAAAAGCAAUUCUCAAAGCUUUAUAUGGACCAUCUCAACUCAUAAAUCCAUUGAGCCUUGGAAUAAACCCAGGGCUAUUAAUAAAAUCUGUGCAUUACUUGUCUCUAUACUCUUGAUAUAUCCAUUUAUGAUUAUAUAGCCAUAUAAAUAAAUGGUCGAGAAUUCAGAUAUUCUAAGGAGAAACAAAAUAUUUUUUUUAGGUGUAGCACUGACAUCCAAGUGUAUAGAUUGUGAGAAACAUGAAGAUUGUUAUUAAUUAAAAUUAGAUAUUUUAGCAGGGUAUAAUAUA